GCCGCUAAAGUGGGGUCCGCGGACCAGGCGGGCGCGCGGUCUGAGAGUUUCGCGCCUAAUUUCUGUAGUGGCCUUCGUCUAGGUCCAGCUUAGCAGUGGCCGCUCCUGAAGCAAAGAUGCUGCAACACAUUCUUGCGCUGUGAUUGGCUGUGGGACUUUGUCAUUCGUUUGUCCUUCGAGUGCAUCAAUGGUGCCAGGACAACAGGCCCCUGAUGUGACUGUCUCAACCCCAGCACUUCCACCCUGAGCUGGGAGAGUGGGGUCCCUGCCACACGCCCUGGUGACAAAAGGACAGGGUUGCCUAUUUAUCUACAUCGGGAUUCGGAGGAAGACAGGACUUUUCCUCCGCUGGGCCACAACAGCGUGAUGGAAACGCAAUGCGGAGAAUUCGCAGGGAGGAAUUCAGAGAAGAAGGUAAAGCUUUCAGGAGAUGAAACUUCAGCUGAACUUUCAAGACAGGCAAGAUCUGGAUGUACGUUAACAAUUUCGGUGCUAGAACCAUGGUACCUAAACUUUUGUUAACUGAAUUUGGCCAACACUUAUCGAAUGUGUAUCUUGGAACAACAUCUUUCACUUAGUCCUCCCAACAACUCUAUGGGACAUCGACUAUUAUUAUUUCCAUCUUACAGAUAUAGAAACUAAGGCCCAGAGAGUUUAGGCAACGCGUUUAAGGUCUUCCACAUACAGCCAGUACUGGAAGAACUGAGAUGCAAACCCAGAGAGCACAGGGCCACCAUGUUAUGUUGCCUCUUCUGGAGAUGGCUGAUAAUACUGGCUGGGGAAGCACAGCAUGCGUAGGACUGAGCACUGCACUACAGAGGACAGGUGGCACUGUCAGUUGACAGUGGUGGGGCCUUGCAUAGGUAGGGCUCACAGGUAAGGAAGAACCACGGAACCCAAGGAGCUUAAGACUUGGCACCGUAAGCAGUGCACUUCACUUUAAAAAGAUGUAUUUGUAUAAAAUUAAGAAACCCUGGUGUUAUGGACGACAUGUUUGUGUCCCCCGCUGCUGAAGCAGGCCCUGGACACUGGCAUGUAAUGUGCCCUCCUCGUCAGGCCAACCAACACCAAGGCCGGCGGGGGGCCACUGGAAGCUUCAAAUUAGUUCCCAAGCACAUCAAAAGAAUCCAGCCCAGAAAGACAACCACCAUGACUGCCCCCAGGAGACCCGGUGAAGCCAAGGAGUAAGCCCCCAAGAUGGCCAGACCAAGGACAGAGAGACAAGAGUAGGCAAGGCCAGGAAGGCCCCCCCACCCCGACUGCCAGACAAGGCCACAUAUGCCCCUCCUGGUGCCAGUGAGCCCCAUGGGAAGUCAAAGGUCAAAGGCAGAAGGAAUUGCCCAGAUGCCAAGGCCCACAGGAAAACCAAAGCUGGGAGUCAGAGUUCAAAACCCACAGUCACCAAGGGCAAGAAUGGUGAUGCUUCCCUGGCCAAAAAGAAGAUGGAGAACAAGGUCCCUAAAGAGGCUGCUGGCCAGGGGACUGGGGAAGGACUAAAAGCCAAAGCUACUGCUCCUCCUAAGGGCAGUGGGUCCAAGACGGCGCCAGCAUCACUGGCUAGGAAGACAGAGGUCCCCAAGGGCCCGAGGACCCACCAAGACCUCUUCACCCAAAGGGGCCAGUAAGAAGGCAGAAUUCAAGAGCUGGAGGCGGGAGAAGAGAGACUAAUAUUCUGCUGGAGUUUUUAUUCCCCAUCAAACCAUCACUCUAUUUAUUUCACUGUAACUUAUUUAUCAAUAAAGGUUUUUUUUCCCCUCACAAAUUGGUAUGGGAGGAGGCAAAAACAAAAAACAAAAAAGACUGUGUGAAACCCUAACCCCCCAAUAGGGUGGAUUUAGAAGGUAUGAACUCUGGGAUGUAAUUAGGUUUAGAUGAGGUCAUGAGGGUGGAGGCCCCGUGACGAGAUGAGUGUCCUGUGUAAGAAGACGAGCGCUCUCUCUUCCCAGGUGUAAGGAAACCUGGCAGAGGGCCCACACCUGACCCUGACCCUGCUGGCCCCCUGACCUAGGACCUCCCAGCCUCCAGGACUGUGGAAAAUAAAUGUUCACUGUUUAAGCCAUCCAACUUAUGGUAUUUUGUCACAGCAGCCCUAACUGACAAAGACAACAGGGAACUGUCCCCCUGCCCGCCUGCCCGCCCCGUGUCAAAUGUAAACAUUCUCUUCAAUCCAUGAACUCGGAAACUGGCCAGAUAUAAUUUAAAAAUAUGUUGAACAGUACCAUCUCCUCCCAGCAAAGACGUCAUGUCUGUAGACCUUGGGGGUGUGUGCUCUGGGGGCCUGGCCCCCCACAGGCCCACAGUCCCUCUGCCAGUCCUCUGCCACCAGCCUCGGGGAGGUAUGCGAGGAGAGAGGGGUGAUGGGAACAACAGUUUUGCCCCACUCACCGCACAUCAACCAUCAGGCAUGAGACUACAAAGAGGAAAAGAACAUAGUUGUAGGUGAAGGGACUGGAGUCAACUGGAGACAAGAAUUCUGCUAAAGGUGGAUCACGGAGUCUUGGAGGGCUCAGCCUGGAGCACUAACCUUGCUCUCCACAACACAAAACCUGGCUGGCAAAGGAUUUCCGGAAGAGGCAACCCUUUUCCUGCCUUCCCUGCACAGGGGGUGACUCUCCUGCUGCAGAGAAUGACGGGCCUCGGCAUUGACGGGAUGGGAGCCUGGAUGCUCCUUGCCCCAUGUUUACCUCUCCCUGUGAAAGCAGCACGGGGAGAUGCACCUGGCUGAGUGUUAGGUAAGAGAAAGCCUUUAGCAGUGCCUGAUAUAUGGUAGCUUCUUAAAGGCACUGACUUCCUUUCUUUCUACUCAAAUAAAUACAUCAUUUAAGGAACUAAGAAAGAAAAAGAGAGAAGUGGUUGGAUCUAAGAAGUAAAAUCUGCCCAGGAACUUGGCCAGAAGCAAGAACACAUACUGGUUUGGGCACAUUUUUAGCACAGAAAGCUCACCAGUUCAUGCCAGGACCAAACAAUCCUGGGGCUUCACUUUGGUCCUUUCAGGAGCCCAGAAUCAACCCAGACUGCGCUAAGCCCAAGGCUGCUCCAUGCCCUCAUAGCUGUGCUGUCCCUUGAAAGAGGGUCAUCACGUCUCUCUUUUUGACAUCCCCUUGGGAAUAGAUCCUGAGAGUCAUUUAGAGAUAAAGUCACAUGCACUCUGGUGUCUCCCGUGUUACCCUGUGCAAAGCUAAGGUGUGUGAUAGCGUACUGUCCUGUACAUGCAAUGUACAUGUAUGUAUCCUGAUACAUGCAAUGAGUUUGCUCUGUUCUCAGAAUUUGUGAGUCACACACUUGUCGAUCCUUUUUGCUUUCAAGGCCGUUUUGCACUAGAAGUAUUGCCUCUGAAAUGUAGUCAAUUGCAACGCUAAGAAAAAUCGGGAGCAUUUGACAAAGAACCUGUGGCAAGGACCAGUUUCCCUCUUAACAAACCAACUGGCUGAUAAGGAAUAAACUCUCCUAAAAAAUAAACAACAAAAGCAAAACCUCUGACAAACUGUGAUGGCUACCAUAGUAACUAUGACAGGAGGCAGCGAAACACAGAAAACAAAACUCAAGUACCAAAGCUGACACUAUGAACUCUUUCAUCUCACAAAAUGGGGUCACCAUUUCUUUGCCUACGUUGCAGGGUUUGGGGAAGAUUAAAGAAUGUAGGUCAAGCAUAAAAACUGUAAAAUGCUAUGCCUCAUCACACGUGCCAGAUAUGAACUAAAUAUGCAUUAUGUAGACACAUAGUAGUGCAUAUGCCAUUGCUAUUCUAAUGUCAGUGAGAAAUCUAGUAUUAUGCUUCUGAUAUUCUUGUAUAUUUUAUUCCAAGAAAAUGAAAUGUUAGAUGUCAAGGUUUGUGAAUCAUCGUAUCAGUUCCUUGUAUAAUACAUCUUAGAUAAGGGCAGGCUUUGAGGCUGUGGCCAGCAAAGUCAGCAUGCUAAUGUUUCAUGUUUCAAACAGGGAGACGGAACCACCACCGUGACGAGCUUUUCAUCCAAGGCCUGGGUGGAGGUGGCAGAAAGCCUAUUCUGAUCUAUAUCAUGUCCAGAUAAUUCAACAUAACCUGGUCUAGAUCCAACAACUUAAUCUUUGAACUAUAUUUAUCUUACCCUAGUCCCCUCAUUCCACCGAUUGCUUUUACCAAAUCUGUCUUUGGGGGUCACGCCUUCACCUUUUAUAAAGGGGUCCAGAAACAACUUGCUGCAAUCUUGUUGCCAAGUCUAUACUACCAAGGCCUGGGUCAGGACAUCCGUGAAGGCAUGAGGAUACUUCUUUCAGAACUGAGUGACAGGACUCUGCUCUUCUUGAAGAACUCAUGAUUUUGUCUCUCUGUGAGCAAUGGAUCAGAAUCAUGGAAUGUGUAACUGAUUUCUUUCUUCUCCAUGAAUGACCUUAUAUUGUUGUGAAUUAUUUUUUCACCUUAAAUCCAAGGGCAGGAAAAAUAAUACUAUAGUUUAUUUACAGUUCCAUUAAUCGAAGAUUACCUUAUUUUAAAAAUAGUGCUUGAAGUAAAUAACCUCGUGGUUUUAAUAAGUACUUAACACUAAGUAAAAAUUUAAAAUCUAUAGAAAACAAGUUUUUAAAAUUGAAAGAAACUAGUACUUAUUUUGAAAAGACUUGAUGUCAUGGUAGUUUAUUGGGUAAAUACAAAGUAUAGGCUCUUGCUUUAUUAUUAUUAUCAUUAUUUAUUAAGCAAAGCCUAAGAGAUUAGAAACCAAGUACACAUAUUCUCUUUAGAAUAGAAACAUAAAUUAGUUUUAACUAACAAUUAGGCACUUAAAAUGUAAAUGUAAAACAGCAUUUUGAAGUACAAACUAUAGUUGAGCUCCUAAAAUCCUCUUGAAAUGUUUUUAUAAACGUAGGAGCACGAGCAUGGAAAACAUAUUUCUGAACAAAGAUAUUUUCCUCUUUAAAAAAAAGAAUCUGAAUUCAAAUCCCUUACGAGAGACCAAUGAUUAAGGUACUGGAGGGUAGGAGAAAAGAGCUUCUGAAAUUUACAUGUUUGAUUAAAACGUAAGCAUUUAAUAAAACUAUUACAAUAACAUACAGUAUAUUCAUAAUGAAAAAUAUAUGUCAGGAAAAUAAUGAAUUCUAGGCUUAAAAUUUUACUUUACAACAAGGCACUUAACACAUUGAAACAGUACAGUAAAUUUCUGAAAACGUAAAUGGCUACCUCUCAAGCCUUGUAAUAACAUUUCUUUUGUGAAUAUACUGUAACAUAACCAUACAUUUUGCAGCAUUAUAUCAUUGCAUAGGAGGUAAAUUAAAUAAUGAAUUCCAACUUGGCAACUAGAGUAGCUUAUGUUUAUAAUUUCUUUUUCUUUAAAAGAUAGUUUUAAAUAAUUCCACAAUAAAGAACUACUCUCAUUCAUGAUUCAUUUAGAACACAGCAUUGUUAGAUUAAUGAAUAAUAAAAUAAACCACAACUUAUUAGGUGUGUAUCUGUAUAAAAACUUAUCUUUGGGUACCUUUGCCAUGAUUUUCAGUGUUUAGGUAUUGAAGUCAAGAGCACUUCUUAGACAUAAUAUUUUUAGCAAGUAAGUCAAAUGAGUUAAAUUAUCGCAACGCGAUGACACUAAAAAAAUCAUCAGGAAUCUUUAUACAUACAAACAGAAAGGUCUUCAACACAUGACAUAUUACUUACAAUAUGCUUCAUUUAAACAUGUAAACUCAUGUAUUAAGAAAUUCCUUCUUACACUUCUCUACACUACAGAAGUGUGUUAAGACCGGCUUAAAUUUUUAAUCUAUUUUACAGUGCAAAACAAAAAAUAACAAUAAAAAAAGAAUUUAAAAAGAAA